UUUAUUAUUUGUUGGGUCAUCUUAUAUUUAGCUAAAGAGCUCAUUAUCAAAACUAUGAAGCCCAUCAUAAUUAAUAAUCGGUGAUCAUCUGAAACGCUGCAAUCACUUUCUUUUCCAUUUAACUUUCGGUUUACCCUGUCUCCUCAUCUCCUUCUCUUUCUCAGCCUCUGAUAAACGUUCAUCUCUCAACCAUUGCAAUGAGUGAUCCCUUCACAUUAAACUCGCUUUACUAUCAAAGCCUGAAGCAUUGUAUAACCGAAAAACACAUGAAAACCUAUAAAUAUAUGAGGGUUGAGAUUGGAAUAUAUCAUCUAAUACACAGGCUUUGAGAUUCUCUUACGUCUAACCCUAGAUCACUCCUUUGAAAAUUUCUUCCUCAGUUCUUCCGAUGCAAUUGUUUCUCAAUCUGAUACUCCCCCCCACGCCCCCCCCCCCACAA
rnacentral:lncRNA from 1 species